rnacentral:rRNA from 1 species
CCUACGGGAGGCUGCAGUGAGGAAUAUUGGUCAAUGGCCGGAAGGCUGAACCAGCCAUGCCGCGUGCAGGUCAGUGCCCUAUGGGCGUUAAACUUCUUUUGUGCGGGAGCAAUAAUGGUCACGUGUGGCCAGACGAGAGUACCGUACGAAUAAGCAUCGGCUAACUCCGUGCCAGCAGCCGCGGUAAUACGGGGGAUGCAAGCGUUAUCCGGGUUUAUUGGGUUUAAAGGGUGCGUAGGCUGGGAGGUAAGUCAGCGGUGAAAUGCCCCCGCUCAACGGGUUGAAGUGCCAUUGAUACUGCCUGGCUGGAAGGCGGAUGCCGUGGGAGGAAUGUGUGGUGUAGCGGGGAAAGGCAUAGAUACCACACAGAAAACGGAUUGCGAAGGCAUCUCACGAAGCCGCGAUUGACGCUGAUGCACGAAAGCGGGGGUAUCAAACAGGAUUAGAUACCCGUGUAGU